rfam:Triticum aestivum genome assembly, contig: Triticum_aestivum_CS42_TGACv1_scaffold_330112_4BS
GAGGUACUCCCUCCGUCCCGAAUUACUUGUCUUAGAUUUGUCUAGAUACAGAUGUAUCUAACACUAAAACGUGUCUAGAUACAUCCGUGUUGUAUCUAGACAAAUCUACAUAAGUAAUUCGGGACGGAGGUAAUAUAUG